CUUAGCCAGCCUCCACCUCACUCCUGUUAGUCACUCCUGGUCUCUCUCCUGCUUGCCAAGAAUGGUCAGCCCUUUCCCCACCACUGCCUCCCUUUCUGCAAUGGUUCCUUUCUCCCCUGGAUAGGGGGCAUGGACAUCUUUUCCAAGGGGUGACAAAAAGGAGGACAGACUUUCACAGGGGAACCAGAUGGUCCCAGGGAGCCCAUCCUGCCUGGGCUUUUGUGCAAUUCCGGAAGUGCACGACACGGUGCCUGUUCGUUCCUUCCUCAGGGGGACAUCGAGAUCAGUCAUACCAACUGCUGUAAGAGUUGGUCUGGCAUCUUCAGACUACCUGACAACUUUCACAGACUGUUCUUUAACCCACUCUGCUGGAGUAAGUCUGCUCAGCCUCUCCUUAUAUUCAGGGUGCAGAAAACCAGCGUCAUUUCAUACAACAGAUUCAGCAACAAAAGAAACUUUUCUGUCAAAACGGCAAACGGACUGCUAACGACGGGCUACAGUCUUUACUGUGGCUGCAUCUGUUGAAACUGGGGGUGUAGAGAGGGAGAAGUGUGACUUACACUAUCGGAGCUUGCUGCUGAACUCACUGGUGUUACUUGUGUGAGGUAAAGCUAAGUAUAUGUAUAAGCCUCAUGACUGGAAUUGAGUACGAGUAUAUGCCUCAAGACUGGGAUUUUUCCAUUAGCCAUUUAGAUCUGCAGAUAUUUGGGAUCACCAGAUCCUCCUCUCUUUUCAGUUUUUCAAAACUUAACACUCCAAAGCUGACAAAUACAACUUUUCUAUUGGAUAAUCCAUAUGUGCUUUUUCUUUCAUCCUUUUGUUUUCUGAUGCUUCUGUUUUCAAGCAUUUGAUUGUGUUUUCUCACUUCUAUUCCACAUUUCUGUUCUAUUUUGAAAUCCUCUCAUUUAGGUUUCAUUCUAAUUCUUCUUCUAAUGCUAAUAUCUCACAAAUCUUUUUCUCUUUCCAGUGCAGUUAUCUGUCUUUCUCAACAGAUAUCACACAUGCUUUCUCCUGCUUCCAGAUAUCAGCACUUUUAUUCUUGAUUUCCAAGUGAUGAUACAAGGUUAAAUGGAUUAAUUCCAUGUGAUUAUAUAUAAUUGCCAAGUUGACAAAAAGCAGACAUUAUAUGCCAAGUUUGCCUUUGAAAUAUUAUCCUUAAUAUAAAACCAACUGUUAUCUACUACAUACAAUCACCAGAUUAUUGAAGGAUGUUGGUAGAAAGGACAAAAGAAUUGGGGAUGGGUGUCUCAAAAGCAGCAGAAGACAUCUUCCCAAAAUCAAGAACCGUCAGGUUGCUG
rnacentral:lncRNA from 1 species